rnacentral:pre_miRNA from 1 species
CCUUCUCGCAGAGGCUUUUGACCUGGGACUCCGACAGCUGCUUGCACUCGUUCAGCUGCUCGAUCCACUGGUCCAGCUCCUUAGUGAACACCUU